UACGUAGGGGGCAAGCGUUGUCCGGAUUUAUUGGGCGUAAAGAGCGUGUAGGCGGUUUGGUAGGUCCGCUGUGAAAACUCGAGGCUCAACCUCGAGACGCCGGUGGAAACCAUCAGGCUAGAGUCCGGAAGAGGAGAGUGGAAUUCCUGGUGUAGCGGUGGAAUGCGCAGAUAUCAGGAGGAACACCGGUGGCGAAGGCGGGUCUCUGGGCAGUAACUGACGCUGAGGAGCGAAAGCGUGGGGAGCGAACAGG
rnacentral:rRNA from 1 species